AUAGUAAUAUCAAAACAUGAUAAAAAAAAGUAUGAGAUUUCAGAAACUGAGGGUCUGUUUAAUUUCGGAAAACAUUUUGUAUUUUUGUUUCCAAUUUUUAUAUUUAAUUACAAUUUUUCCUCAUUCUUUUCACUCUGUUUUCUAAUCUUAGAUAAUUGUAUAGAAAAUAAGGUGUGUAUAACCUAUGAAGCACUUGAUGGUCACAAGGGGGCAGCCGGAAGAUCAUUCACAUUGGGGUCAGAGCAACUAUAUAAGUGAGUUGAACACUACAUCUUUAUCCAAAAUCUUAAGACAUUAGGUUUAUGGGUCAUCUCUCUUAUAAAAUGUCUAACCUCCAUUUUUCUAAGCAAUGUGAGACUUAAAUUACCUCACACAACAACACUUACACAUACACAUACACGAACACUAGACAUACAUUGCUGUUCAGUGUCGGUGCUACAUAACUUAUAAUAAUCAUGUUAUUGAUGGGAUAAUAGAGAAAAACAUGUUUGUUUUAUCAUUUAAAACAUACAUCUUUCUA
rnacentral:lncRNA from 1 species